rnacentral:rRNA from 1 species
UUGAAAGGGAAACGAUUGAAGUCAGUCAUGCUGGUGGGAAUCAACUUAGGGGAAACUCUAGGUGCACUUCUUCGCUUGGCAGGUUAACGUCGAUCUUGAAUGCCAUAAAAUAAUUGGGGGAAGGUAGCUCCUUCGGGAGUGUUAUAGCCCUUGAUAGAUGUGAUGUUUGGGGUCGAGGAUUGCAACGGAUNCCCUUUGGGGCUAGCCGCCUGAUCUCUAAUCGGUGUUGGGUUACGGAUAGCAUGCUGACCGUGAUAUAAUUACUGGUUAAAAGGUUAGAGCGUGCAUAAAUUCGUUAAGGAUGUUGACGUA